AGUAAAGAAGUAAAAAUUACAUUUAGUUUCGACCUAAAAAUAAGGAGAAUUCAUUAAUCCUCUUACUU
rnacentral:tRNA from 1 species